CUGUUCUGUUUAAAACAAUUAUUGCAUUCUGCAAAAUUCUUAGUCGUAUUUGACAAUAUUUCAGUCUUACUUUUCUGCUCCUCUCCUAUCACACCCUGAAUUCUAGGUGUGCUGACAAGGCACUGAGCAAGGGAAUGGGAAAAUACUGGAAAUGUAGCAAGAAAUGCAAGGAACUGUUCUGAUCUCCUAAUUUCUGUGCACCUGCAUUUGAUGGGAUUACUCGCUCUGGCUCUGAAAUCAAUCGUCUUCUGUCUCAUCCCCUUCAGCCAUUGUGACCUCACCAUAUGCCCCUGACUGGAGAGAAGCCCAGGUUGGCUGCCUACAAUUAGAGUCCACAUAUGUUCGGGGGAGGGACCCCAGAAGGCGGCUGACAGUAUUCCUUUAGCCAGAAAUCCCUUCAGGGAAGAGAAGGGUGCUCCCCUUUGCCUGCUUUUAUACUACAGACUGUUUCCAACUCCAGCUAGAAGUGACUAUUGCCGAUUAUGCUAAUCAGUGGUGACAAGCUCCCUUUGACUGCUCACUUCUCCAGUGAGGCUUCAAGCUUCUAGGCAUCAAGAUUAGUAAGGCUCUCUUCUGGGUGGGCCAGUUUGUUUCUCAGUGACAUGAAAACAUUGCCUGGGGUGUGCACUGGUAUUUUCCAGAAAAUAUUUCAAGCGGAAUAUACUUAUUUUCCAGUUUUGAAAACAACUAGAUUGCCCAUCUCCAUUUCUCUCUAUCAUCUACUGCAUUGUUCUAUAGACAGCUGCUACCCUAAUAAGCUCAAGAAGGGAAGCCAGAAGUCAAGGCCAGAGAAGACAUAGGAAACAUCAUUUCCAAAGUGGGAGACAAAGCUGUUAACAGGAAAUUAUUUGUAAAGUCAAGAGCCAAGCAAAACAGAAAAAGGACAAGAAAUCUAUCACCUAUGGGUAUGAAUGGUUCUAGGGAAGUCUGUUGACAAUUGGAGGGUCUCAAAGGCGCUUUAUGGUACUUAUUUUAUGACACUGAGUCUGGAGUCUGAUGAAUUAAAGAGGAAAUUCUGCUCUGGGCAACAUUUAAGAGAUAGUAUCUCCAGUCAGUAACUUUGGUAUUAACUCUCGUAAGAUUGAUGCCAUUCUGUCAUCUAAAGUGUGGACAAAAGUAGUAUUAAAGCAAAAUGAAA